rnacentral:rRNA from 1 species
AACGAACGCUGGCGGCAUGCCUAACACAUGCAAGUCGAACGAUGCUUUCGGGCAUAGUGGCGCACGGGUGCGUAACGCGUGGGAAUCUGCCCCUUGGUUCGGAAUAACUCAGAGAAAUUUGAGCUAAUACCGGAUGACGACGUAAGUCCAAAGAUUUAUCGCCGAGCGGAUGAGCCCGCGUAGGAUUAGCUAGUUGGUGGGGUAAAGGCCUACCAAGGCGACGAUCCUUAGCUGGUCUGAGAGGAUGAUCAGCCACACUGGGACUGAGACACGGCCCAGACUCCUACGGGAGGCAUCAGUGGGGAAUAUUGGACAAUGGGCGCAAGCCUGAUCCAGCAAUGCCGCGUGAGUGAUGAAGGCCCUAGGGUUGUAAAGCUCUUUUACCCGGGAUGAUAAUGACAGUACCGGGAGAAUAAGCUCCGGCUAACUCCGUGCCAGCCGCCGCCGUAACAC